ensembl:lincRNA Mir124-2hg Mir124-2 host gene (non-protein coding)
AGAAAGCUUCUGAAUUUCAAGCAGAAAGUGGAAGGAGCUCCACAGAGCAAUAUCUUGGGCUGCGUGUGCAGAGCGUAGACAAUGAAAAUCUCCGCCCCCUCCCCCAUGCUCUCAAGUCUACAAGAUUUUUUUCUUUCCUUCACAACGAUGGAAGCUAUGUAAAAAUCAAAUACACAGAGAUGUACAUACUUUUUUUUUAAAGCACAGACUAACAAACCGAAGGACCUGACCAUGGAUUAUUCAAGGACUCACCUGCUGGGGAGCGCUCUGGGGUCUCCGCACAAAACCUGCUUUUGAGCCCUUUGGCUUUCUUCAGGCGAGCGCAGUCCGUCCAUCCCCCUGGCCCACCCAGCCGCAAGGGAUGCUGUGAAAAGAGCCGCUGCUUGCCGCCUCCGGCCUGCCGUCCAGAGGGCUCCGCCCGUAGAGGUCAACUCCCCUCAUUCUUCUUCUUUCCAUCUUGCCCUCCCUCCGCCGAGCCCAGACUCGGAUCUCCUCCUGACUCCCGCCGCAGUCAGAGAGAGCGCAUCUGCUGCGCUGCCCUUAAAUCUACGCCCAGAGCGGGCUCAGACCCGAUCUCUGCUCUCCAGAGCCGGAGGAAGCCCGAGCAAGCAGCCUUUUCUCUUCGCAGUAAAAUCAUAGCCAGACCAGAUGGGCCCCAGCUCUCCCGGGACUCGGCAGGCUUAUAUGGAGUAAAAUAAUGUAUAAUGCUGUAUCACCUCAGCACCGUGAAUUUAGAAGUUCCAGCAUGUUGUGAAGCAGACACAUCUUUGCUAUGAACACUGUGACUCACUACAUCAGUGCUGGUAUAAUAAAAUGCUUCUAAUGAUGUAGCUGUUAAAUUUUCUAAAAUAAAGAUCAGUUUAUUUUGUGAUGGCACAAUGAAAGAGGUGUUUAAUUUUUUACUAGAUUUUAAAAUAAAGCUUAUAAAAAUAUUAAGUUAAAAUUAAAAAAUAUGAUUUUAUAAUUUGUUUUGUGUGUGUGAGGGGGGGCUAACUCUUGAUUACAUGUUAAAUCAACUUAAAUAUUUAACCAAGCUUGUCAAGUUCCAUAUAAGAUCAGUAUGUUUGUCUUCUGAACCCUGGUUUUGCACAGCAAGCAUUAGCAAUUCUUAAGAAAUUAAAUGAAGAAAAGAAUACUGUUAUGAUUCCUAAUAAUAACUGUUAUGUUAUGUUAUGUUAUGUUAUGUUAUGUUAUG